GACAUAUAAAUAAUUCUCAUGUUACGGCCAUGAGGUGGACAGGUUAGCUGUCAUAUGUUU
rnacentral:tRNA from 1 species